GUGGAUAGUCUCCCUUCUCAAGGAUAAACUGCUGGCCCUGGAACUCAGGGUACUCAUAACCCAACCAGCUAAAACACAGGCGGGGAGAGAGAGGGAACGAGAACGAAAGAGAGAAAACAGAGCGUCAGGAACUAAUCCUCCUAAGGACCUGACAGCGCAUGCAGGUGACAUCUGCUCUGUGAAUGGCUCUGCGUAGGAGUGGACCACAACAGGCCGGCAGGUUUUACCCGAGGACAGCGAACGCGUCCCUAAUGGCAACCUAUUCCCCAUACAUGAUUGGUUUUAAAGAGAGAGGAUUCUCCAGUGGACACCUGUCGCAUGGGGCGUUGCUCAGUUCCAAUAUUGACACAAUAGUCUGGGGAGUGCAGAUUAGUUCAACUCCUCUCUAUUAUGCCAACCCUCCCCUCUCUAUGCAAACCGACAGUGUGUUGCGCUCCCUCCAAUUGACGAAAUGGAAGGAUUCGCUGACCUUUGUGCUCACGCUGAACCUACAGAGAAUGGGCCAUUGAACAGUGGCUUCAUUCACCUGUGUUGAAGGUAGGAGAAAACCCACCUGCCUCCCCUGUUCCCAUGCCUACCUACUCCCAUGUCAUUUACACAUAUUUGCAUAUCAUGUGACUUGCAAAUGAGUUCCUUCAAUGCUCAACGUCAGA